UGACAAAACCACGUCCAAAACAACAGAAAAAAGUAUUUGAAGUUCCAACACUGUUUUUGGUCCAUACUGUCAACAUAAGGACAGAUGUUACAGAUGUUUUUAUGAUCACUUGUGAAUGUACAUUUGGGAUUUUUUUUUUCCUCCAUGGAGCUGAAAUUAGAGCAGAUAUCAGCGUCAUUCAGCCUGAUGUGGAGGAUCAUUGGAGACCAAAGAUGGACCUGCAGCUUCCACCAGGACAAGAACCAGCAGCAGAAGAGCUGCCACCUCCAAAACCAGAGAAACAUGUCAGAACAGGACUUCCAGGAGGAGUUCCCAAUACUGCAGAAGCACUUAGAGCUGAACACCGCUGCACAAGGAGACACGAUUUAAUUCAGAUCUGCCUCCACUGACUGAGCGGAGCUCAUAUUUCCCAGCUUUCCGGUGCGCCCUGAACGCACAGCGGAGCCAGUGGAGGACUGAGGGGGCGUGGUUUUCAUCGCAGUGGGCACGGCCUCGGUAUGCAAAUGAUC